CCUACGGGUGGCAGCAGUGGGGAAUAUUGGGCAAUGGGCGCAAGCCUGACCCAGCAACGCCGCGUGAAGGAAGAAGGCUUUCGGGUUGUAAACUUCUAUCAACAGGGACGAAAGAAAGGACGGUACCUGAAUAAGAAGCCUCGGCUAACUACGUGCCAGCAGCCGCGGUAAUACGUAGGGGGCAAGCGUUAUCCGGAAUUACUGGGUGUAAAGGGUGAGUAGGCGGCAUGGUAAGCCAGAUGGGAAAGCCUUGGGCUUAACCCGAGGAUUGCAUUUGGAACUAUCAAGCUAGAGUACAGGAGAGGAAAGCGGAAUUCGUAGUGUAGCGGUGAAAUGCGUAGAUAUUAGGAAGAACACCAGUGGCGAAGGCGGCUUUCUGGACUGAAACUGACGCUGAGGCACGAAAGCGUGGGGAGCGAACAGGAUUAGAUACCCUAGUAGUC
rnacentral:rRNA from 1 species